UCAAUGGCUUUUCUGAAAGCCACAUCACUCUGACAUAAAAACAUGC
rfam:Ailuropoda melanoleuca scaffold566_14, whole genome shotgun sequence.